UACGGAGGGUGCAAGCGUUGCUCGGAAUUAUUGGGCGUAAAGGGUAGGUAGGUGGUCUCAUUUGUCUGAGGUGAAAGCCCAGGGCUUAACCCUGGAAGUGCCUCAGAAACGGUGGGACUUGAGUACUGGAGAGGGUCGUGGAAUUCCCGGUGUAGCGGUGAAAUGCGUAGAGAUCGGGAGGAACACCAGAGGCGAAGGCGGCGACCUGGACAGUAACUGACACUCAACUACGAAAGCGUGGGGAGCAAACAG
rnacentral:rRNA from 1 species